UUAACUGAAACCAAAAAGAGGUAUAUUAUUGUUAAUAAUAAAAUUGAAUUUUAAUUCCAGUUAAA
rnacentral:tRNA from 1 species